GUUUGUAGAGAUGUUUGGAGAGUUUUUGGAGAGUUUUGGAGAGUUUUUAGAGAUGUUUGGAGAGUUUUUAGAGAUGUUUGAAGAGUUUUUGGAGAGUUUUGGAGAGUUUUGGAGAGUUUUAGAGAGCUAUUGGAGAGUUUUGGAGUUUUGGAGAUGUUUGGAGAGUUUUUGGAGAGUUUUUUGGAGAGUUUUAGAGAGUUAUUGGAGAGUUUUGGAGAUGUUUGGAGAGUUUUUGGAGAGUUUUAGAGAGUUUUAGAGAGAUUUAGAGAGUUUGGGGGAGUUUUUGGAGUUUUAGAGAGUUUUUAGAGAGUUUUGGAGAGUUUUAGAGAGUUUUUGGAGAGUUUGGGGGAGGUUUUGGAGUUUUAGAGAGUUUUUACAGAGUUUUGGAGAGUUUUUGGAUAGUUUUGGAGAGUUUUUAGAGAUGUUUGGAGAGUUUUUGGAGAGUUUUUGGAGAUGUUUGGAGAGUUUUUGGAGAGUUUUUGGAGAGUUUUGGAGAGGUUUUGGAGAGUUUUUGGAGAGUUUUGGAGAGUUUUUGGAGAGUUUUGGAUAGUUUUGGAUAGUUUUAGAGAGAUUUAGAGAGUUUUUGGAGAGUUGUAGAGAGUUUUGGAGAGUUUUCAAGAGUUUUGGAGAGUUUUUGGAGAUGUUUGGAGUUUUUGGAGAGUUUUGGAGAGUUUUGGAGAGUUUUGGAGAUGUUUGGAGAGGUUUUGGAGAGUUUUAGAGAGAUUUAGAGCGUUUUUGGAGAGUUUCGGAGAGUUUUAGAGAGUUUUUGAAGAGUUUUUGGAGAGUUUUAGAGAGUCUUGGAGAUGUUUGGAGAGUUUUGGAGAGUUUUAGAGAGUUUUGGAGAGAUUUUGGAGAGUUUUGGAGAGUUUUUAGAGAUUUUUGGAGAGUUUUAGAGAGUUUUUGGAGAGUUUUAGAGAGUUUUUAGAGAGUUUUGGAGAGUUUUAGAGAGUUUUUGGAGAGUUUGGGGGAGUUUUUGGAGUUUUAGAGAGUUUUUAGAGAGUUUUGGAGAGUUUUAGAGAGUUUUUAGAGAGUUUUUGGAGAGUUUUUUGCAGCGUUUUAGAGUUUUUGGAGAGUUUUAGAGAGUUUUAGAGAGAUUUAGAGAGUUUUUGUAGAGUUUUAGAGAGUCUCUGAGUUGUUUGGAGAGUUUUUGGAGAGUUUUGGAGAGUUUUAGAGAGAUUUAGAGAGUUUUUGUAGAGUUUUUGUAGAGUUUUAGAGAGUCUUGGAGAUGUUUGGAGAGUUUUUGGAGAGUUUUUGGAGAGUUUUGGAGAGUUUUUGGAGAUUUUUGGAGAGUUUUUGGAGAGUUUUGGAGAGUUUUAGAGAGAUUUAGAGAGUUUUUGGAGAGUUUUUGGAGAAUUUUAGAGUUUUAACAGUGGAAUAAAUCACUGAGAAGUGAGGAAAAGAGCAUUACACAGCCCACAGGCUUCCGAGCUCCAUUAAUGCUGCGUUCACUGAUUGUUCUCUAAUGAGCUGUUUAUGGAAAAUAGCAGCGUGUUGCUGCUGCUGCUGUCUCUGCUUCAGUGCUAAAUCUUUCCACUGCGUUAUCUCUCCUCACAUGUGUUCACUGUUCACUCUUUCGUCUGUUUGUUUCCAGUCUUUCCCCUUUUUUUAAUCUUCUCUUUCUUUAUCUCUAUUUUCCUGUGUAGCAUCUUUGAUCCGGUCCUCUGAUCUGGUCCUCUGAUCUUGUUGUCUGAUCCUUUGAUAAUGGAUGAUUUUUGUUAUCUUUCUCUCUCUCUCUCUUUUCUUCUUCCUUUUAGCUUCUCUCUCUCCUAUGGCCGCUCUGGUAAGAUGUGGAGUUUGUAGUGGAGUGUGUAUUUGGCUGAACUGCACUUUAAUAUGCACCCAUUUACUACAUGUCUUGUGUGUGUUUUUAUUUUUAUGUGACGAUGAUCAGGAUUGUCAACGGCAUUCUGGGAAAUGGAGUCCUGGUUAGUUUGGGAGACAGAGGGAAGCAUGACAUUAGGUCAGAAUAAUUGGGCUCAAACUGCAGUUCUCUGAGAUUUUGAUGCUUUUUUUAAAUGUGUGAGGGAAGUUCUUGUGAUCUCACACAUUAGAGCCGUUUCAUUGCUUUUAAAGCUCUUAAAAAGAAGAGGAAAGCUCAUAUAAUAAUAAUAAUGAAUGUGAAGUAAAUGAGCAGCACUGCUAGAUUCUCACACAGAGAAAGAGAGAGAGAAUAUUUUACAGAGCAGAGAGUAUAGCUCCAGAACGCUCCCCUGAUCCAGCCAAACCAUGCGGCCACAGCCUGUAAUUUUCCCGCGAGGACGAUUACGCUUACAGCCUGCCAAACCCCAGCAUGCAGCGUCCAGUUACAGCGCUCACAGCAGCACAGCCGGGGUGCUUCUGGAUUUUUGAUCCAGAGUUUGGGGUGAACAGACCAAGAAGAUAAUCCAGAUUCUUUGCAUAAUAUACAGCAAUCAUGCUCUUUGUAGUUUUACACAGAUUUCUCUCCUGAAACUGUUUAUUUAAGUGAAUAAAGUACUUCCGUUUAUUUACAGUAAGCUUAAAUUCCCAAAUUUCUCCAGCACUAAGGCUGGAGCAUUAGCGUUAGCAGCUAACCACUUGCAGUUAGUGGCAAUUGCUGCCCAACAGCGCUACACUAAGGAACCCUGAGUGUUCUGGUAAGCCAGGGCGCUAUAAACUAGCGGUUUGUCCCACGUACCUUGUUUUAAUAGGGUACAAAUGCUGAAUACAGUCCGAUAUAGUCACCUCUGAACAUCUAAAGAGCUAGCACUUUGUGCGUUUAGUAUACAGACAGUAUACUCACCUCUGAACAGCUAAAGAGCUUAGUGUGGUUAGCGGCUAAUGCUAAUGCUGCUCCAGCAGUGCUAGCCAGGGUUUUCAGCAGGCUACAGGCCGAUAAUACUCACCUUUAAAUGGCUAAAGAGCUAGCGCUUUGCCUGGUUAGCAGGUAAUGCUAAUGCUGCUCCAGCAGUGCUAGCCAGGGUUAGCAGCAGGUUACAGGCCAAUAAUACUAACCUCUGAAUGACUAAAAAGUGAGUGCUUAGUGUAGAUAGCAGGUAAUGCUAAUUCUGCUCCAGCAGUGCUAGCCAGGGUUAUCAGCAGGCUACAGGCCGAUUAUACUUACCUCUGAAUGACUAAAGAAGGAGUGCUUAGUGUGGUUAGCGGGUUAUGCUAAUUCUGCUCCAGCAGUGCUAGCCAGGGUUAUCAGCAGGCUACAGGCCAAUACUACUCACCUCUGAAUGACUAAAGAGCAAGCAGCAAGUGCUUUAUGUGGUUAGUGGAUAAUGCUUAUACAGCUCCAGCAGUGCUAGCCAGGGUUAGCAGUGGGCCACAGACUGAUAAUACUCACCUCAGAACAGCUAAAGAGCUAUCACUUAUCGCAGUUAGCAGGUAAUGCUAAUGCUGCUCCAGCAGUGCUA